rnacentral:rRNA from 1 species
GACGAACGCUGGCGGCGUGCUUAACACAUGCAAGUCGAACGAAGAGCGAUGGAAGCUUGCUUCUAUCAAUCUUAGUGGCGAACGGGUGAGUAACGCGUAAUCAACCUGCCCUUCAGAGGGGGACAACAGUUGGAAACGACUGCUAAUACCGCAUACGAUCCGACCUCGGCAUCGAGGAUGGAUGAAAGGUGGCCUCUAUUUAUAAGCUAUCACUGAAGGAGGGGAUUGCGUCUGAUUAGGUAGUUGGAGGGGUAACGGCCCACCAAGGCAAUGAUCAGUAGCAGGUCGGAGAGGAUGAGCGGCCACAUUGGGACUGAGACACGGCCCAGACUCAUACGGGAGGCAGCAGUGGGGAAUCGUCCGCAAUGGACGAAAGUCUGACGGAGCAACGCCGCGUGAGUGAUGACGGCCUUCGGGUUGUAAAGCUCUGUUAAUCGGGACGAAAGGUCUUCUUGCGAAUAGUUAGAAGAAUUGACGGUACCGGAAUAGAAAGCCACGGCUAACUACGUG